rnacentral:rRNA from 1 species
GCGGAAGAUGUGACCUUCGCCUUAACGGCCACAGCUAAUUCAUCCGAACUGUAAGAUCAGUCCUAACCGGCUUCGGUUAAACCAUCGAGAAAGCAGCAGACGUCAGCGGCGCGUAUACGCGGCUCGAGUGGUGACCACUUUAUUGGGCCUAAGCGUUCGUAGCUGAUUUUAAGUCUCUGGGAAAUCUCACGGCUUAACUGUGAGGCGUCUAAGAGAUACUGGGAAUCUAGGGACCGGGAGAGGUAAGAGGUACUUCAGGGGUAGAAGUGAAAUUCUGUAAUCCUUGAGGGACCACCGAUGGCGAAGGCAUCUUACCAGAACGGCUUCGACAGUGAGGAACGAAAGCUGGGGGAGCGAACGGGAUUAGAUACCCCGGUAGUGGGGAGCCGUAAACUAUGCGCGUUAGGUGUGCCUGUAACUACGAGUUACCGGGGUGCGUAAUGAUAUGGAAAAGAAACGUGCCGCCUGGGAAGUACGGUCGCAAGGCUGAAACUUAAAGGAAUUGGCGGGGGAACACAACAACGGGUGGAGCCUGCGGUUUAAUUGGACUCAACGCCGGGCAGCUCACCGGAUAGGACAGCGGAAUGAUAGCCGGGCUGAAGACCUUGCUUGACCAGCUGAGAGGAGGUGCAUAACCGUCGUCAGUUCGUACUGUGAAGCAUCCUGUUUAUCGGCGGCGAGCGAAUCCGAAAUCUAGGGUUGCGCGAAUCCCUGGCUCGAAUCACGGCGCGUAA